CCCAUAUUAAUCCUUUUGUGGGGAAAAAUCAAACAAAAACAUGAAGGAAGUGAGACAUGGUAUGCUUUUGGUUCAGAUUCAUACUCCAUCAGCUUCUUCUCUGGAAGCAGUGGGCAUUUUUCAAGCUCCACUUCCCACUUUCCUGAGAAGCGGCCAGAAACACCUGCUAGCUACCCAUCUUCCCUUGGUGUGUAUGCCAGAGCCAAUUGGUACAGGAAAGCCGAAGAUUUACACAAAAAGACCAAUUCUAGAAGUUUAUGAAAGGAAUCUGAUAGUGAUAGCUUUUGAGAGACUCGGUUCCAUUACAAAAUGGCACCUGAGAAGAGCCAUGACAAAAUGUUGGGCUGUGACAUGA
rnacentral:lncRNA from 1 species